UACGUAGGGACCGAGCGUUGUCCGGAAUCAUUGGGCGUAAAGAGCGUGUAGGCGGCCACUUAAGUCCUGCGUGAAAUCUUGCGGCUCAACCGCAAGCGGUCGUGGGAAACUGGGUGGCUAGAGUGCGGGAGAGGACAGUGGAAUUCCUGGUGUAGCGGUGGAAUGCGCAGAUAUCAGGAAGAACACCCGUGGCGAAGGCGGCUCUCUGGAACGCAACUGACGCUGAGACGCGAAAGCGUGGGGAGCAAACAGG
rnacentral:rRNA from 1 species